GGCAAAACACCCUGUGGAAGGAAGCCCAGCAAUCAAUUUUAACUUUCAGCUAGAAAGGAGACUUCAAGCAAGUUUUGCUUGGAAACAAUCAAAGGAGGUCUGAGAACUUCGGGUUCUGCUACUUCUGCCUCUCAGGACUUCCAGUCUGCAGGCUGUGCAGCAGAGAGUUGGGAAGUUUUGUGUUCCAAAGUAGACAAAAGUGCAUCUCACUAUUUGCUAUCCCAUACCAUCUACCUGCAGAUGCAGGGACAACGUGAUCUCCUUCACAAAUCCCAAGACAAUGGUGAAAUUUUAAACUGAAUUAAUCAGAUUUUCUAUAGCACCGGCUACACAAAUCUUGGUGCUCAACAUAUGCUUGGAUAUCCUUCAUGCACUGUGAAGGACAGACUGUUCAAAGCCACUUUCUGUUGACAAGGAAUGAAAUAGUGACAUAGAAGGGAGGCAGAUACACAAAGUAUUGAACUGUGCUCUGACACUGUGCAAAUGAAACAGUAUUUGAUCUUCUAAAGUUGUUUGUAUCAAAGACAGUGAAUAAAACUGGGCUGAUAUCACA
rnacentral:lncRNA from 1 species